GCUUACGGCCAUAUCACCCUGAAUGUGCCCGAUCUCUUCUGAUCUCGGAAGCUAAACAGGGUCAGGCCUGGUUAGUACUUGGAUGGGAGACCGCCUUGGAAUACCAGGUGCUGUAAGCU
rnacentral:rRNA from 1 species